UUACAGGCGUGUCUGCAGGGACGACCUCACCAACUCCUACCUUGGAUGCUGCACAAAAGGCCAGCUCCCAUGGCAGGGGUCCUCUGACAGGAGAGACCAAAGACAUGGCAGGCAGGAAAUUCCAGGACCCAUUAGAAAUCAUGUGGCAAAUGCUGAAGGAACGUCUGCAGAGAAGACAAGAAAUGAAAGGAGAGCCUGCGCAGAAGGAAGUAUUUCCCGGAGGAAGCAGUGGUUCCGUGCCAGCCUCUGCUGAAGGAAGGGAGGCCAUGCCAGGCACAGGCACAGGAGGUAAUUGCUGUGCCUCUGGGCCUGAGCCCUGCUGAGGCUUGAGCUGCCCUCUCUGCUGCUUGGCAGUGCGGGCACAGCCUGGAUUGGACCGGCACAGCCCAGGGGAAUUAUCCCGAGCAGGCUCAGGGCACUCGGGUCCUGAAGGAGUGUAGGGGGAUGCCCCCAAUGAGAGAGGGACAAACUAGCCUUUGUCCCCCAAAAAAAGGAAGUAGGCCCAGAAGUUUCUCCCAGCGAUCAGGUGAAAAGCCACCUUAUAGGACCCCAGAGACUUCACUAAAACCUUGGGGUCACCUAAUUGGAUGAGAGCCAAAAGAUCCCGCCUGGGCCAUCAGGUAGAAAAAGAGAAGACAAAAGAAUGACGAGGCUUUUGUGAAGGUGUUUUACCAGGAGCAGACCUCUGUACCUGGAUCGGAUUUUCUGUUUAUUGUUUUUCCUUUUAUUAAACAGUUUUGUUUACAACACUGCAGCAGAAGCCAUCCUGCUCAUUAUUUGCCUCCAAAGGUAAUAGCCAGGCUAUUCUUUGGGUAUUAAGUUCUCUUUUAAAGGCUCAUAAAACCCUGGCCCGACAAAACAAAACUUAAUACGUGGCGCCUGGACAGAAUUUCUCAUAUUGAGGAAGAUGGUCUAGGAAUUUUUGAUUACCUCAAUCAAAAUAGGACAAUUUUCCUUGGUAUUUGCGUUUUUGGGGAAGCAGGCCUGCACCUGAGUUUUUGUCGCAUUAAAAAAGAAAACUCAGAAGAAGAGAUUUGAGGUUUAGAGGAGAUCUCAAAUCGAAGCCUCAUACCGGUGAAGAAGAGGCUAUAAUUCAGACGGGACGGGAGCAAACGGCACACACCCUCAGAGGAUACUGUGAAUCGGCUAAGCUGAAACUGUUGCACCCAGGACCCGGGAAAAAGUCUAUACCAAGAAGGACGACCAGAAGACUCGGUGAGUUUCACCAUGGGGAAUCGGUUGUCAGUAGCUGAGCAGGAAUUUUUUUCGUAUUUUAAUUAUAAGUUGGAAAUCCAAGAUAUUCAGUUUGACAAAAAACAGCUUAAAAAGCUUGUAAAAUGGGUCUUAAAGGAGUUCCCAAACUCAGACAUGUCUCAGAAACUCGAUCCAGACUUCUGGGAUUCAGUUGGACUGAAAUUAUAUAACACAGAAAAGAACAAGAAGUCCAACUUAAAGCUGCGUCCAAUAUUCAGGACGGUGUUGAAAUUUGUAAUAAUGGAAAAUGAAAAGCAAGCAAAGACCAGGGAGAGGGCAGAAUGCAGGCAGGACAGAGAAGACAGGAGAAAGCGAAGUUCUGAGGGGACUCAAAAACCUUCCUUUAUCCCAGCCGAGAAACCCCGGUGGAGAGGCCGGGAGGCAGCCAGGCCAGCUGCCCCCCCGCCUGCCUCACCGCCCCCAUCCCGAGACAGGGGGGAGCAGACCAGCCCUGGCCAGGCUUGUCUGCAAAACCCGUCUUCCAAAAACCCUACCAGAGCAAAGUCCUCUAUAUCUCCUCUCAAAACCUUGCUUUGGCGUUCAAAAUCGGUGAAUUUUGACAGUAAAACUGAAAAAAGCCGAGCCGAUAGAAUCCAGUCUGAGAACAAUAGAGCACGUGGCAAUCGCCAUUAUAGCCCCG